UACGGAGGGAGCUAGCGUUGUUCGGAAAUACUGGGCGUAAAGCGCACGUAGGCGGCGCAGCAAGUCAGGGGUGAAAUCCCGGGGCUCAACCUCGGAACUGCCCUUGAAACUGCAGUGCUAGAAUCUUGGAGAGGCGAGUGGAAUUCCGAGUGUAGAGGUGAAAUUCGUAGAUAUUCGGAAGAACACCAGUGGCGAAGGCGACUCACUGGACACAUAUUGACGCUGAGGUGCGAAAGCGUGGGGAGCAAACAGG
rnacentral:rRNA from 1 species